rnacentral:lncRNA from 1 species
CUACUCGGGAAGCUGAGACAGGAGAAUCACUUGAACCCUGGAGGCAGAGGUUGCAGUGAGCCAAGAUGGCGCCACUGCACUCCAGCCUGGGCGACAGAGCAAGACUCUGUCAAAAAAAAAAAAAAAAAAAAAAGAUUAAGAAACAGAAAAAUUAGCAAAAUUAAAUAAGGCUUAAAUUUAUUAUUACUGUUGUUGUUUUGAAAUGGAGUCUCACUCUGUCACCCAGGCUGGAGUGUUACCUCUGCCUCCCAGGUUCGGGUCAUUCUUCUGCCUCAGCCUACCGAGUAGCUGGGAUUGCAGGCACCCACCACCACACCUGGCUAAUUUUUGUAUUUUUAGUAGAGACUAAAAAUUGUCUUGCCAUGUUGGCCAGGCUGCUCUUGAACUCCUGACCUCAGGUGAUCUGCCUGCCUCGGCCUCCCAAAGUUCUAGAAUUGUAGGUGUGAGCCACCAUACCUGGCCAGAAGAUUUAAAUAGCCACAGAGAAAGAUUAAGUGAGACCUUGUCUCAAAGAAAACAAAAACAAAAACAAGAAAAACUAGGAGUGAGCUACUUUACCCAAAAGAACGCUUCAGAGGUUUGAAACUCAGAAGGCACCACCAAAGUUGUGAAAGGAGCAGGGCUGAACACAGAACUGGUUUAAAGCAUGUAAACAGAGAAUUGUUUGUUUUAGGUUCCCUCUGCCAUAUUAUAUGCAACCAGAGCCAUCACUUCUCAGCUGUGUGCAAACAUGAAGAAGCUUCCUAACACCUCUAACCAUCAGUUUCCUCAUUUGUAAUGAUAUUACGAAAAUGCCUACUCCAUAGGAUUAUCGUGAGGAUUGAGUGAAUCAAUACAUAUUAAGCACAUAGAAAAGUACCUAGCACAUGGUAAGCAUGCAAUAAAACUUGUUGUUUUAAGCCUUUGAUGCGAUUUGCCUUAUAAUUAAUUAUGGUGUCUAUACUACCUUGAGAAACACUAAUUUAAGUCAAAUCACCUCUGGGGACACAUGAAUGAGGAAGACAUAAUGGCACUUUCAUCUUGUGAGCACAGCUCCAUGACGUAUCACAGUGACACGGGCUUAGUCUCAAAGCAAGACUAACAAUCAUAAGGGUCAUAGGUAAAUACUAAAGACAGUAAAAGUGGUGGGAAAAAGGAACUAGGUGUGGGAGAGGUGCCUUGGAGCGCUUAAUGUCAUUCUGUGAGUACAGUAGCUACACAUUGCUUACCUUUGAAUAAACGAGAACCCGAUUACAAUAAGAAGUAAAACAUAUGAACAGACUGAAAUAAAACACAAUAAUCCAUAAAUAU